rnacentral:rRNA from 1 species
UAGGGAAUUUUCCACAAUGGGCGAAAGCCUGAUGGAGCAACGCCGCGUGCAGGAUGAAGGCUUUCGGGUCGUAAACUGCUUUUAUCUGUGAUGAAUUUGACAGUAACAGAAGAAUAAGGAUCGGCUAACUACGUGCCAGCAGCCGCGGUCAUACGUAGGAUCCAAGCAUUAUCCGGAAUUACUGGGCGUAAAGAGUUGCGUAGGUGGCAUUGUAAGCGGGGCAUGAAAUCGUGUGGCUCAACCAUACGGCUAUGUUCUGAACUGCAAAGCUAGAGGACGAGAGAGGUCACUGGAAUUCCAAGUGUAGGAGUGAAAUCCGUAGAUAUUUGGAGGAACACCGAUGGCGUAGGCAGGUGACUGGCUCGUUCCUGACACUCAGGCACGAAAGCGUGGGGAGCAA